UACGUAGGGUGCGAGCGUUGUCCGGAAUUAUUGGGCGUAAAGAGCUUGUAGGCGGUUUGUCGCGUCUGCUGUGAAAUCUCAAGGCUCAACCUUGAGCUUGCAGUGGGUACGGGCAGACUAGAGUGUGGUAGGGGGAGACUGGAAUUCCUGGUGUAGCGGUGAAAUGCGCAGAGUAUCAGGAGGAACACCGAUGGCGAAGGCAGGUCUCUGGGCCACUACUGACGCUGAGAAGCGAAAGCAUGGGGAGCGAACAGG
rnacentral:rRNA from 1 species